AGAUUUUUAGUCUACUUUUAUAUAAAAACAGUUGUUUUUAGAACUCUUUAGCGAUGUGUUAGUAUAAUAUAAUAAGUAUGGAUUAUCAUCGAAAGCUGAUGAUCAACGAAAAAAGAAGAUGAAUGUGGUGACUCUUCUAGUAACUUUCUUGGGUGUGAAUCUGUCUUUUUAUUUACUCCUCUUGGUUUAAAAACAAAUACUUAGUACAAUAUAAUUAUGGAUUACUGUCGAAGGUCUACAUGAUCAACCAAAAUGAACCAGAUGAAUCUGGUGAUUUUUCUAGUGACAUUACUGGGUGUGAAUCUGUCUUUUGAGUUUACUCCUCCUAGUUUAAAAACAGGGUAUAGUAACAAUGUUUAAUUAUUAAUUUAAUAAAGAACACGUUGGGCUGACGGCAGCAUACUUAAACCAAAAAAAUAACAGACUAUCUAAUCAUAACAUAAAUGAUACACGCGAACAAAAAACCUUGUUCCCAUAUAAAAA